UGAGGGCAUCUUCUACGUGGCUGGAGCCCCAAGAUAUCAAUAUGUUGGGCUUGUGACCAUCUUCCGAGAGACACCAGAUCAGGCAGAGAGGAUCCAGCAGAUCUCAGGAGAGCAGGUGGGCUCGUACUUUGGCUCAGAGAUUGAGGUCUGUGACAUUGACCAGGAUGGUUUCUCAGAUGUGGUGCUGAUUGCGGCUCCUCAUUUCUAUGAUCUUCGAUGGUCUGGACAGGUGUCUGUAUAUCGCUAUAUUGAGGGACGUCUCCAGCUCCGGGGGUCUCUCCAUGGGGAGUCGGGUCACCUUCACUCUCAGUUUGGGUCGGCAAUCUCAUCUCUCGGUGACCUGAAUGGAGAUGGAUUCAGUGAUGUGGCUGUGGGGGCGCCCUAUGAGGGGG